rnacentral:lncRNA from 1 species
AAUGUUUUGGUAUUGACUUUCUCAAUUUUGUUGUCUUUCUUUAAAAAGUGUUGAAGUUCAUUUUGGCAGUGACUGGUGGAUCAGCUUGAUCAUUUUAAGGCUUGUUUUCAAGCUUUGUCACUGUAGGUCUAGAGUGGCCUUUACCACUAAGGUAUGAAUCACUAAGGCAUGACUAUUCUUGGGCAUCUAAGGAAUUUCCUGGGUGUUUGUUAAAAUCUCUCUACUCUUGCUGCUCAAAACUCAAACUCCCUUGUCAGUUCUGGGGAUUAUUUGGUGUGCAACUCUCUAUUUUAGCCGUUGGCUAGGCAAGUAGGGUUUUAACCUACAUUCAGAAGUCACAGCAGGUUAGGGUUUAGCAAAUAGUCUUAAGGGGAUACAUAUGCAUAUUUCUGGAGCGCUUUUUCUAUACACCAACCUCGUCUCUAGAUCUCUGUCCUAUGACUUCCAGAUGCCUCAGUUUCACUGAAUUCUGAUCAUCAUCUCCUUAACUCUAUUUUGCCAUACUAUCCUUUACCUUUCCUUCUUCUGCUGUAAUCCAGAAAGUACCUCAAGGCAGAAAGCAAGAACAAGUGCGGUUUUCACUUCAGUUGCUUCCUUUAUCUUAGUGAUCACAUUUCUGAGCUUCCUAUUAUUCCACAUCUAAAAAUCAGCUAUUUAAUACAGUUUGUCUAGUUUUCUAGUUGUUUAGAAUUCAAGGAUAAGUUUGGUAACAGUUACUCUAACAUGGUUGGAGUGUUAAGAUAAAGAACUGUUCUUGAAUUCAAGAAGAUUCUACUUAGAAUUCCAGUUCUUCAAUUUACUAGCUGUGAUCACUGUAUAGAUACAUAACUUUUCCUUACCUCAGUUUACUCAUCUAUAAAAUUGAGAUUAUGGGUCCUGCCACAUAGGAUGGUUGUAAGGAUGACUUGAUCUAAACUCCUUUCUUCCCUACUUCUUUCCCAACCUCUUUCUCUCCCUUUCUCCUCCCAUCUUCCCUCCUUGCCUACCUUCCACAAAUAUUCUCCAGGGGUUGAGAAUCAGUAAUAGAAGACAAGCCCCUGCCUACACCUGAGUUUAUCUUCUGAUGAGGAUAAAUAUGGGAACAAACAUAUACAAAAGAUAUUUCAGAUAGAUAAAAUUUCUAUGAAGGAAUAAAACAGUGAUGAGAUCAGACAAUGACUAAGGAGAAUAGCUUUAUAUAUGACCCUCAGGAAAGCCCUUUCUGAGUAGCUAACAAGACCUGAACAAGAACUUGUCAAGAGCAUUCCAUGCAGAGGGAUCAGCAAUGCAAAAGAACAGAGGUGAGAAUUGCACAUUUAUUACAGAAACUAAAGGCCACUGUGAAUGAAGCAAAACAAAAGAGGGUAACAGUGGUACAAGGUAAACUUGGAGACAUAGGUAGGGAGGGCGCAAUUCACAUGAGUCUUUUAAGCCAAAGUUAAAGCUUAUUUUAAGUGUCAUGGAAACCCAUCACAGAGGCUUUAUUGGUUUUUUUGUUUGUUUAUUAGCAAAAGAAUGAUAAUAAAAUAUGAUUUUUAAACAAUAUUAUUCCAUUUCCUUUAUGAAAAUGCUUAAUAGUGUUAUAUUUUUAAAAGCCUGUUAAUAAAAUUUCAUUUGAAUUUCACCAAUAUUAUCAAGUAGAUAUGAUAUGCUAUGUGGUCGUUUGGGGAAGAGAAAUAGGUAAGAUUUUUUUCUGCCUGAAUGUCAAAAUCCUAUUUAGAAGUUAGUCAUAUGCUUGUAUAUAAGUAACUAUAGCUAUUUUCUUACCACUACUGAGCAGAGAAACAGAAAAUCUUCAGUGAGAUAAAAAUUGAUGCUA